GCAACGAGCGCAACCCUCGACCUUAGUUGCCAGCAUUCAGUUGGGCACUCUAAGGUGGACUGCCGGCUAAAAAGUCGGGAGGAAGGUGGGGAUGACGUCAAAUCAUCAUGCCCCUUAUGACCUGGGCUACACACGUGCUACAAUGGGCGGUACAAAGGGUCGCGAACCCGCGAGGGGGAGCCAAUCCCAAAAAGCCGCUCUCAGUUCGGAUUGCAGGCUGCAACUCGCCUGCAUGAAGCCGGAAUCGCUAGUAAUCGCGGAUCAGCAUGCCGCGGUGAAUACGUUCCCGGGCCUU
rnacentral:rRNA from 1 species